UAAGGGUCCCCUCGCGACGAACAGAGUGUGAACCCCGUCAGGCCUGGAAGGGAGCAGCGGUAACAUUCGCAUCGUGCGCAGAGGUGUGGCUCUUUUUU
rnacentral:SRP_RNA from 1 species